UCUCUCUUCUCUUCUCUGGGAGGCAGGUUUUUUUUAAAAUGGCGGCCCAGAGCUUUUUUCUUUAACGCCAUAGAAUACCCAUGGGAUAUCUACGAAGAAAUGGGGAUAUAAGGUUGAGGCACUGAAGAAGAUACCGAAAUACGUGGUUUACGUACGAAGCGAUCUGCCGUUACCAACCUAAUCCUUGAAUGGUUUACAAACACUCACUUAUGUGAACUUGAUUACUUUGGUGAACACUUUAGGAGAGGAGUGUGUAUUAUGUGAAUGGACUUUAAAGGUAUAUAUGACUUGGAAUUGAUUUUCGGAAUAUAUUGCUUUGAGUUCUUGUGAGAAACGAUUGGAAUGUAUAAUUUUGUAUAAUUUUGUUGCUAUCUGAUGAUAAGAAUUGAUUCAACAAGACAUAAGCCAGA